GACGAACGCUGGCGGCGUGCUUAACACAUGCAAGUCGAACGAAAAGAGGGAAAGAGCUUGCUCUUUCCGGAAUUGAGUGGCAAACGGGUGAGUAACACGUAAACAACCUGCCUUCAGGAUGGGGACAACAGACGGAAACGACUGCUAAUACCGAAUAAGUUCCAAGGGCCGCAUGGCCCAUGGAAGAAAAGGUGGCCUCUACCUGUAAGCUAUCGCCUGAAGAGGGGUUUGCGUCUGAUUAGCUGGUUGGAGGGGUAACGGCCCACCAAGGCGACGAUCAGUAGCCGGUCUGAGAGGAUGAACGGCCACACUGGAAUUGAGACACGGUCCAGACUCCUACGGGAGGCAGCAGUGGGGAAUCUUCCGCAAUGGGCGAAAGCCUGACGGAGCAACGCCGCGGGAGUGAUGACGGCCUUCGGGUUGUAAAACUCUGUGAUCCGGGACGAAAAGGCAGAGUGCGAAGAACAAACUGCAUUGACGGUACCGGAAAAGCAAGCCACGGCUAACUACGUG
rnacentral:rRNA from 1 species